UUGGAGGGCAAGUCUGGUGCCAGCAGCCGCGGUAAUUCCAGCUCCAAUAGCGUAUAUUAAAGUUGUUGCAGUUAAAAAGCUCGUAGUUGAAUUUCGGGAUUCUACCGUUGGUCGGGCUAACAAGUCUGUACUGGUGUGUAGAAUUUCUACCUUCUGGGGAACUAUCAUGUUAUUAAUUUAGCGUGGUGGGAAACCAGGACCUUUACCUUGAAAAAAUUAGAGUGUUUAAAGCAAGCAUUAGCUUGAAUACAUUAGCAUGGAAUAAUGAAAUAGGACGUUUGACCCUAUUUUGUUGGUUUCUAGGAUCGACGUAAUGAUUAAUAGGGAUAGUUGGGGGCAUUAGUAUUCAAUUGUCAGAGGUGAAAUUCUUGGAUUUAUUGAAGACUAACUACUGCGAAAGCAUUUGCCAAGGAUGUUUUCAUUAAUCAAGAACGAAAGUUAGGGGAUCGAAGACGAUCAGAUACCGUCGUAGUCUUAACCAUAAACUAUGCCGACUAGGAAUCGGGCGACGUUAUUUUCAUGACUCGUUCGGCGCCUUACGGGAA
rnacentral:rRNA from 1 species